UGGUAUACCUGUAUUAAAUUUGUAGUUUACAUACUUUUUUGCCAUUUGAGAAAGGAUUGCAAUUAUUCACAGAUUUUGUACAUGGCACAUAUCAUAACCAGACGUUUGGCUUUUAUGAAAAGCUAAGUAUUUCAUGGUAGAAGAUGUUUUCAAAGCUUAAAAGAAUUUUGUGUUUAUUGGAAAAAUCAAGAUUGGUUUGCCCCUUGAUCUUUGCCCCCAUAUACUCUUAAGUUAAACAUUGGAUAUGCUAUAUAUUAAGAAAUUAAAUGUUUUUUCCACUAGUUAUCUAUUUACUUUUAACUUGGUGAAACUAACCUUUUUCUCUUUUAAACAUUCACUAGGAUUCUGAUCUUCGAAGUGCACUUCUUUUGGAACAGGCAGCACAUUGCUUUAUAAACAUGAAAAGUCCCAUGGUUAGAAAAUACGCAUUUCAUAUGAUAUUGGCAGGCCAUCGAUUUAGUAAAGCAGGGCAGAAAAAGCAUGCUUUACGCUGUUAUUGUCAAGCCAUGCAAGUUUACAAAGGAAAAGGCUGGUCUCUUGCAGAGGAUCACAUUAAUUUCACUAUUGGGCGCCAGUCCUAUACUCUUAGACAGCUGGAUAAUGCUGUGUCUGCUUUUAGGCAUAUUUUAAUCAAUGAAAGUAAACAAUCUGCUGCUCAACAGGGGGCUUUCCUCAGAGAAUAUCUUUAUGUUUACAAGAGUGUAAGUCAGCUGUCACCAGAUGGUCCUUUGCCACAGCUUCCUUUACCAUAUAUUAACAGUUCAGCAACACGGGUUUUUUUUGGCCAUGACAGACGACCAGCAGACGGUGAAAAACAAGCAGCUACUCAUGUAAGUCUUGAUCAAGAAUAUGAUUCUGAAUC
rnacentral:sRNA from 1 species